rnacentral:piRNA from 1 species
UUUCGUUUCAGGCCCAAGACAGUUCCUGG